AUGAAAUCCCAGAAAAUAAGAAAAUUGAAACUAAAACAGGAAACCAGAAUGGCAUGUGGUAUGGUCACUCUGCAGGGGAAGAGCAAAGCCUGGCAACAGUUCUGUUUAGAAAUGAAAUCUGUUUCAGCUGCAAAGUUGAUAGCAAUCACGUGCACAAGGUUACAUGAAAAGUCCUCGUUCUUGUUAACUUUUUGGCUGCUCUGGUGUCUGCAGGCUUCAUGGGGGGAUUGCAGGGAAGGGGUUAAGUCCUUCUCAUUAGCAGAAGAGAGGCCGCAGCUGCAUGCCCUAAGCACUUGGGGGUGGUGGGGCAAGGACAGCUGUCACGAAUUACGGGAUUCCCUUACACACUAUAAAAUGCCUUCUCUCGAACAAGCCUGUUUGGCUAAAAACAGGGGUGGGUGGAGGUUGAACUUGGUGAGGAUGGGAGAGAAGAUUAUGUUUACUUGCUAUAUCCUAAUUUUAUUCCUGAUGAGGGUGGUUGGCAUUAGGGAAGGAGGCUGGGAUCCACCUGAAUGCUGGCUUGUGCAAACAGAAGCAGGUUUUUGGAAGCUCUCCAGUAUCAUGGAGCUCCAUAAGCCUCACUGGCCCUUUGCAGAGGAUGCAACUGAUUCAGUACAGCACUGUUUCACCUGGAGACCAUCCCACACCUCUGCCUGCCACACACCCAGCCGUUUGGAUGUCUGA
rnacentral:lncRNA from 1 species